AACGAACGCUGGCGGCAUGCCUAACACAUGCAAGUCGAACGAGACCUUCGGGUCUUGUGGCGCACGGGUGCGUAACGCGUGGGAACUUGCCCUUAGGUUCGGAAUAACUCCCCGAAAGGGGUGCUAAUACCGGAUAAUGUCUUCGGACCAAAGAUUUAUCGCCUUGGGAUGGGCCCGCGUUGGAUUGGCGAGUUGGUAGGGUAUAAGCCUACCAAGGCGAGGAUCCAUAGCUGGUCUGUUAGGAUGCCCAGCCACACUGGGACUGAGACACGGCCCAGACUCGUACGGGAGGGUGCAGUGUGGAAUACAAGGCGAUGAGGGAAGGCCUAGUACAGCAAUGUCGGGGAAGUGAGGCAGGCCGUAGGGUUGUAAAGCUCUUUUACCCGGGAUGAUAAUGACAGUACCGGGUGAAUAAGCACCGGCUAACUCCGUG
rnacentral:rRNA from 1 species